rnacentral:lncRNA from 1 species
AAAAAAUACAGCAGGACCUGCAGCUCAUAUAUUCAAACCAUGCUUGUUAAAAUACCAGGAUGGUAAAUUAGUGAAUUCCAAAGUCAGGAUUUUUGUUGGAUCUGGCAGAGUCACAGGAAAGUCUGAGUCUUCUCAAGGGCAUCCCUGUCUCACCGAGGGGCAGCAAGGACAGACGACCAGAAGCAAAUGGCGCAGUCACCAUCAGAGGAGAGUAAAACUCAUUCUGAAACCGUUCCAAAUGCCCAUGCCUGCUCUGUGGUUUUCAGCAAAGCGGACCUUUCCAAAAGACCUCCAACGGGGACUUCCUGGAUGUCAGAACACGAACCAAUUCUCGUUCCUCUCAUCUUUUGCUUUAUUCCUUCCUUCCACGCUGUUAUUGCGAAAAACUGGCAGUUAAAUUCAAUUGAUUCAAAAUAUUCGGGAUCCAUAUGGCCG